AAAAUCCAUCUAGUUUCAAAUUUGAACUUCCAAUUUCAAAUAUGAGCUUAUUUUCACAAUUUCACUUCUAAUGUGGCUUGCUUCGUCUUCACCCUCAAGACAUUUUUCUUCUCCAUUCCAUCAAGUUUUCAGCUUCAUGGCUUAGCUCAAAUUUAUGAGGAACCCUAUUCCCAAAUUCAACUACAAAUUUGCUUUACUGUACUUAUGGCUUCUUAAUUUUGUGUUAUUUGUGCUAUGCGAGAGCUUUUGUCAAUGAAGAUUCAGAGACACAAGCUUAUCAGAAAUGAUAUACUCUUUGUUUUCUAUUAUUGAUCCGUUUCUUCUAUUAAUUCCAUCACAUUCAUUGAAAUUGUCACAUUGAAUGUCUUCAUCUUAACAUGUGUGAUUGAUUCUACUGAUUAACAAUGCAUUAAGUACGCAUAGCUUCAUUCAUUGUAAUGCUUUAUAAGAUUUUACAGAUGAUGAAAUCAUCAUUUUCCUGUUCUGCAUUGCUCAAUGGUUUGGAUUGAAGUAUUAUAAUUUAUGUCAUCACUCCUAAUU